GCUUGUCUCAAAGAUUAAGCCAUGCAUGUCUAAGUAUAAGCAAUCUAUACUGUGAAACUGCGAAUGGCUCAUUAAAUCAGUUAUCGUUUAUUUGAUAGUACCUUACUACAUGGAUACCUGUGGUAAUUCUAGAGCUAAUACAUGCUAAAAACCCCGACUUCGGGAGGGGUGUAUUUAUUAGAUAAAAAACCAAUGCCCCUCGGGGCUCCUUGGUGAAUCAUAAUAACUUAACGAAUCGCAUGGCCUUGCGCCGGCGAUGGUUCAUUCAAAUUUCUGCCCUAUCAACUUUCGAUGGUAGGAUAGUGGCCUACCAUGGUGGCAACGGGUAACGGGGAAUUAGGGUUCGAUUCCGGAGAGGGAGCCUGAGAAACGGCUACCACAUCCAAGGAAGGCAGCAGG
rnacentral:rRNA from 1 species